GAUGAACGCUGGCGGCGUGCCUAAUACAUGCGAGUCGAGCGAACGGACGAGAAGCUUGCUUCUCUGAUGUUAGCGGCGGACGGGUGAGUAACACGUGGAUAACCUACCUAUAAGACUGGGAUAACUUCGGGAAACCGGAGCUAAUACCGGAUGAUAUUUUGAACCGCAUGGUUCAAAAGUGAAAGACGGUCUUGCUGUCACUUAUAGAUGGAUCCGCGCUGCAUUAGCUAGUUGGUAAGGUAACGGCUUACCAAGGCAACGAUGCAUAGCCGAACUGAGAGGGUGAUCGGCCACACUGGAACUGAGACACGGUCCAGACUCCUACGGGAUGCAACAGUAGGGAAUCUUCCGCAAUGGGCGGAAGCCUGACGGAGCAACGCCGCGUGAGUGAUGAAGGUCUUCGGAUCGUAAAACUCUGUUAUUAGGGAAGAACAUAUGUGUAAGUAACUGUGCACAUCUUGACGGUACCUAAUCAGAAAGCCACGGCUAACUACGUG
rnacentral:rRNA from 1 species